rnacentral:lncRNA from 1 species
AUUUUCAACGAUACUAUCAUCUGGGGCACGAAAUCAAGUAGCGAUAACAUCAAAAUGAUCCCUGCGACGUAAGUAUCGCUAUAUCACUUUUUUUCUUUAUAGUUUGAGUUUAGAAGGUAUUUUGAAGUUAAUAAAAAUGCCUAAUUUCUGGUUUUAAGAUCUUAAAUAUCAAGGAAGGUUGAUUAAUUGAUUUCAUAAUAGUUAGAACUCACGGGACGGUGAUCGGAAGCCGUGAGUUCGAGUUAUUUGACUUGUAAUGGACUGUUUUUGAGUUGUUUUGUGUAGAUUUUGGGAUGUCUAUUUUGUUGCUGUUAAAUGAAGUUUUUGGAGGGUAAAUUGUGUGGAGAAACACCACAUAAUGGCAAAAUCAUGGAUUAGUCAUUAUGUUUGACACUACUAUAGUCGUCGUUUUGGAUAUGAAUUGAUUGGGGUGUAUUGGGCUGUUGUAAGCUAAAUAUAAUAUGGAUUUCGACUUGCAUCUACUGUAUGAGGUAAUUCUAUUGUGUUCCUACCGGUUCUUAAGGUUAUCUUGGCAUUGGUUAAGUUAAAUAGAUGAACUAGACUUGAACUAGUGAAUAAAGUUGCUAAUUAAGAAUAAUUGGAGUUGUGGAUCAUUUUCUUUGUUAUGGAUAUAUGGUAUAAGGCUGGAAUUAUUGAUGAAUGACUUCAUUAUCAUGUUAAUGAUACUAUUAAGUUAAAGCAAAAAGUCUAUAAGGGAUGAUAUGGGGUAUACGAAUUCCAAUUGGAGCUUGUCGCUCGUCGUAAAAUAGUUAUGACUUUUUGUUGUUUUAUGGUGUCUUGUUAUUGAUAAUUAUGUAUUGCUGGAUUUCUUUGGUAAUUGUUGUUGGUAUAUGAUAUUGGAGGAGGCUCUUGUUACAGGGGAGAUGCUACCCGAAUUUAUAUAAACGAGCUACAAGUUUAAGUUGCAGACUUGGCCUUUAUUCAACACUGAUUUUGAAUCUCCUUAUGCAAUGGAAGAUUGAGUUAAGUUGUUUGAAGAGUAGCUUGGGAGGUAUUAAGGACUCACCACGGUUAAGGUAUGUUAAGGCAUUUCCCUCUUUCUUUUGGCAUGAUCUAAAGUGAAAUGAAUACGCUAUUUUAUAACGGAUCUACUACUAGAAACUAAGGUUGCCCAUGUUUUUCUUUCCUUAUAAAGUUAUUUUAAGCAAGUAUGUAUGAUCCUUGAAUCCUACAGAAGCUCAUAUUGAUGGUAUAAUGUCCAUAAUGUUAAUCGAAGGUGCAACGAUCUUAAGUCACUCCAAAAGGUUUAGAACGUGAUUCCAUAAGUCUAGCAUGCAUUAUAUAUAGCAUCUAUUUUACUCUACCGAGCCGCGCUAUAGUAGGCCAAGUAUGACACCUAUUGUGCAACCACUGAUCAGUUGGAUUUACCGAGCUCCACGUGGCCGGGUACGAUUCUACCGAGCCUUAUGAUGGACGGGUACGCUUUCACCGAGUCCUCUUUGAGGCUGGGUACGAUAUGAUGAUGAUGAUGCCUACAUAGGCGUAUGUUUUUAAAAGUUUAUGUAUAUAUAUGUAUUAUGCAUUUCAUGUUAGUAGCCCCCAGAGGUACGCAGAUGUUACAAGUUGUAUCUCCUCUAUCUCUCUUUAUAUUACUAUUCCUGUUUAUGCUUUCCUGCCUUACAUACUCGGUACUUUAUUUGUACUAACGUACCUUUUGCCUGGGGACGCUGCGUUUCAUGCCCGUAGGUCCCAAUUGAUAGGUUGACAUUCCUCCGAGUAGGCUAUCAACUUAGCGGAGGUGUUGGUGCACUCCACUUGCUCCGGAGUUGCCUAUUUGAUCAGUAUGCUUUGGAUAUGUAUUGAUUGGGUGGGGCCCUAUUCCGACCUUUAUGAUUUUAUAUACUCUUAAAGGCUUAUAGACAGAUGUCAGGUUUAUGGAUACUUGUAUGGCCUUGUUGGCCUGCGUGUUGAGUAUUCCCUUACGUUUUAUUCUUGUUAUCUCAUGACGGGUGGCUCAUUUACUCAAGAUAGUAUAAUAAGAAAGAUAUAUUAUCUUGGUACUCGGUUGAGUAGGGCAUCGGGUGCCCAUCACGGCCUUUUGGUUUGGAUCAUGAUAGAAGUGGUAUCAGAGCAGUUCUGUCCUAGGGAGUCUACAAGCCGUGUCUAGUAGAGUCUUGUUUAUGGGUGUGUUGUGCACCACACUUAUAAGCAGGAGGCUACAGUGCAUUUAGGACUGUCACUCUUUCUUCUUGUUCUAGAUCGUGUGAUAGAGCUCAGUUGUAAGAAUUCAAACUCCUAAAUUUUGUUUUAUUCAUAAUACAGUGAUACCUACAUCCAGAAAGACAGUUGGUAAGAGAUUGAAUUUUGAUGCGAAAGAGUUGAGUCAGAGGAACUCGAUUUUGCAUCAUGCUUAUGAUGACUAAAUAUGAGGUCUUCAGCAGAUCAUAUGUGUACUAAGAUGUGUAAGCUUCUUGAUAAGGAGUCAUAAGGCAAGAAUAUAUAUCCACUCAUAUGGUAAAAAGGAAUAAGAGAAUCGGAAAGUAGACACAAGUUUCAGCAAGUAAAACAAGCAAGAUGAUGAAGUGUAUGAGGUACCUAGUUAAUGAAGAUUAUCAGUAUUUACAAUUCAAGCAGAGAAAUGUAAAUAUUGGUGUUACCUUAAAUAUUAAUGGUGAUAUAUACUAUUGACCACACUCAUCUCAGUUAUGCCCUAUGGGACCUAACAAAUAUAGUUUAAAAGAAGAAGGUGAUAUCAAGAUUCAAUUCGGGUUAGAGUAACCAAAAAUUAUGGAUGGAUUGUUAUCAUUAACUAAUGUAUCCGAAGGAUAGUGUAAAUGUGGUAAUAGAUCUCCUUGUGAGACACCUAGAUGGUAAACUUUAGAAUAGUACAAUCAGAUAUGAAUACUAGAAUAUUCAGAAAUUUCAGAAGAUAGGUAGUGGGAUCCUAGAAGGGAAAAAUAUUUCCAUUAGUAUGACUCCAGCCCCGAGUAAAAAAAAGGGAAGAAUGUUAGGCAUUCCGAAGAUCCAGUGAGAUAAAGCAAGGGGAGCUAAAAGUGAAAGAACAUUUUGUUCAAGUUUCAGAAUAAUGUGAUAGACAAAAAUAUUAUCCGGAGAAUAAGAAGAGAGUAAAUGAAGCGUCAUGGGUAAGAUAUAAUAUAUGGGUGAUAACAGUAAAUCAAAAUAUGACACGAUGAUAGAGUCUAUAGUCGAGUGAAGGAAAAUACAAGAGGUGACAGGCCUUGAGGCAAUAAAUGAGUAUAGGCCAUAAAGUCAUAUCCUUAUUUCGAGAAUGAGUUGGUGACUUCAACGUGAUUAUCAAGAGGAAAGGUUAGACCCUAGAGUAGUAGAAGUUAGUAUGGGCUGGUGAACAAGAUAAACUGAACAUGAAUUAGGGACUGAAGGAUUUUAUAAUAGUUGAUAUCAUGUGAAUUUCAGAGAUAACAUUCCGAUAAUAAUAUAAUGGACAACAAAAGAAUAACCUUUAAGGUUCAUUUAGGAAGAUGUUUCCCUAAAGCAAGCACGUGGAGCAAAGUUAAGCUUAAGGGACUAAGUGUGCCAGUUACAUUAAGUGUCACCCUUGUGCAUAAUAAAUUCAAUUAUCCCUGGUAUAGAGAGGUUACCGCAAGGCGAGUAAGAUGUUAGUGAAGAUGUGAAAAAAUACCAAGAUGAAGAGGUAACUAUGGAAUAGUAAAUGAAGAACCAGUAAAAGGGUGAAAGGAAUGAGAUUGCAUCUAUUCAGAUCCUAUAGAUAUGAUAUGACUCCUAAACAUUAUGCAAGCAUGAUGCCAGAGAGAAGCGAUAAGGGUUACGCACCCGAUGAUAUUGAUAAAUAAGUGCAAAUGAACACUUGAUACAUUAGGAGCCAAUGCGAGAGGUAACUUAAGACAAAAUAAAUAACUAAAGAGAGAUUACACGAAAUAUAGGUAUGAGAAUGGAUCAAUGAGUGGUUUGUAGUUGAUUUAGGAAGAGCCAAGUUAUGGCUAUACAAGAGGUUAUAAGCAAAUCAGCAGAUCAUGCAAGAUAAACGUAGUGAAUCCUAAUCUAGUAAAUUCAGUCUCGCAGAUAUGAUGUCGUAACCUUGAGAAAUAUUCAGAUAGGAGUUGGGUUAUUAAAGGUACCGUAUAAGUGUUACGGAAAUAAUGGAGAGUGCCACUAAGGAGACAAUCAAAUCAGAGUUUAGAAGUAACCCUACGAGCACAAGGGCACGAAGGUAUGUAACUAAGGAUGUUUGUAGGCGAGUAAGAACAUCGAAAAUUCCUUCGGGUAUACAGUAUAAUAAGAUCGUAACGUUACAAGAUCUAGAAGGUCUCCUUAAGUACUACAAAGAUAUACUAGCUGAGGAAAUAAGGAAAAAGGCUUCAACUUAAGCAUAAUGACAUAAAGAAGAUAUGGUCGGGUAACAACAGUCCCACUACAAUAUUGUAUGCACUCAAUACGAAAGUGUCACCUAUCGUGGAUAACGAACGGGAAGUCAAAAGUGCUAUUUGAGAUUAUAUGAGUUACAUCAAAUUCAAGUAUUCGUGGGCAAUAAGAUAAGCCAAUUAUUCAUGUAACAAGUGACGUAACGGCCAUGAAAAGUGAUUGAUUACAUUUAAAGAAAGUUGAGAAGGCACGAAAUGAAUUAUUCAAUCAAUGACCCAUAGUUGGUUAAGUUGUGAACGCACUUAAGAUUUUAGAUUUAUAUCCAUGACAUUCAUACAACUAUAGGAAACUCUAGUAUAAGUAAAAGAAAUAAUUAAGUCCACGUCACCGACAAAAACUUGAAUUGUUAGAAGAUUAUAUCAUGGAUGCUACAUAGAGUCCAUAAAAGGCUAAUGUAAUAGCUAAUACCCUAACCUGAAGAUUGGAAGAUUGACUAAGCUUAAUUAAAGGCUGAUAAGGAAGAGGAAGCUCGAAAGUUACAUCACGAGAACAAUUGUUCGACCCAGAUGAUUAUAGAAAUCGUGACUCAAACCAUAGCAGGAGCACUUUUAAUAGCAGAGGUAUAAAAGAGGUAGUACAACAAUCAUAUUCUAUAAAAGUUGUACGAUAAAGCAAUUAGAAGAGUACCAGCCUCAUAAGACGUUAAUACGAAGCUCCCACCAGAUUGUGUAUGCACUAGGGUUGCAAGUAUUAUGGUAGUGCUUUAAGGUAUGGAUGUGAAUUCCACCAAUGUAGAAGGGAGGUUAUGAAAUCGAUAGAAGAUACGGUGCGAGAUUUAAAGGUAAGUAUGGUAAAGGUGAGUGAGAAGGUGACAAUAAUAGGCAAGGUCUCAGGAUUAAACUCGUUAAAACAAGAGGGAUGAUGCUUUCCAUGAGCUAUAGAAAGCUUGGUACACUCUGAAUGAACUCAGAGGAGUCUAAGAACAGGAGCAAUUAAGAGAGAUGGAAUACUGCCCUGGUAGUAGAAUAAAGGUGUAAUUGUGAUAGUUAAGAGAAUGAUGUUUGGGCCUUCGAUUGAGUAAUGAUUUAAAGAAAAGGGAUUUCAUGGAUGGUGUGAGCACGUGAUUUUUGCUUCACGAAAAAUACUCCAAAAGAAAUCAAAAAUAAAACAAAAUUCUCUUGGUGAACAAUUUUUAGAAUUUAUGUGGCAUUUUUGGAUAAUUAUUUGUGUUUCUUACCGUAAAUGUUUACCUUGUUGUAGUUAAUUGAAAAAUGCAAAAAAAUACAUUUUGUAUGCAUAUUUAGGAAUUAAUUAAACCGUCAUUUGGCUCUUAAAAAAAGAAAAUCACAAAAAUAUGUGUUUUAUUCUAUUUGUUGUCAUUGUGUGAUUUUAUUUUAAGGUUUUAAUUUGUGUGUUAAUUGUUGUAAGUAUUAAUUAAUAUUUGUGUAGUUGUAUCUUGAUUUUACAAUUUAAUUCGGAAUUGUGUUAAAAUUAGGAAUUAAAGAAGGAAAAGGAAAAGAGUUCAAAAAAUGAAGAAAACUCGGAUUGGGCCACAAGGUUUUAAAUGAAAUUGGGCCCAAAUCAAUACCCAAUGCAUGACCCAAUCCAUUGCCUGGUCUCAGAUAACCCCAAACGACGCCGUAUUGGCGUCUCAAAUCUGAGUCGUUGAUCAAACUGGAUCGAACGAUCCAGUUCAGCCCCUGCAUAGUUGAAAUGGCGCCGUUUCAGGCAUGUCAAUCUAAACCGUCCAUCUCCAUUGAUCCAAUGGUCCCAAGCUUCCCUCACAACCCGGUCCAUUUCGACCCGGGUCGACCCAGUCUCUGAAUAAGACCAAACGAUUCGUCCCCUUUAAGUGAAUUGAUCCAGGCCGUGGGUCGUGAUUGAUCCAACGACCAAGAUCAAACCACCACUCCCCUAUAUAAACUUAAUAUCCUACCCCAGCCCCCUCAAACCAAACACCCCCCCCCCCCCCCCCCCGUUGCCCUGUUCAUCGUCUCUUUCAAAGACGGACCCCAAACCCUAGCCGCCCUGAAAUCCCUCCGUUUGAAAGUCGGCGGCAACAACGCCGGUGACCACCACCUUAACACCCUAAGACCAUCUGACCACCCCCGUUCCAAAUAUAAUACUCGUGUAGUUCGAAUCUUCCCCCAUAUUCUCGAAUCUUCAUUUGAAGAUUCGAGCCAAACGGAAACCUACACCAACCAACCCCAAACUCACCCCAAGGCACCCCCUAACCACCCUCGUUACGGAUCUGUUGGUUGCUCACCUCGAAUCAACUUCCAACUUCUCGAAUCUUCAAUCGAAGAUUCGAGAAGGACUUAGAACUACCCCAUCCACUCCAAAUUCAUACCAUGCAACUCCCAGACCUCCCUCAUACCCUAAAUAACUUUGGUUCCCUUCGAAUCUGGCUAGAAACAUUCGAGCCCUAAAUCAAAAAAAUUAGGAACCCUAGAAAUUCAAAUCAUGGAAUCCGUCCAAAUUAAGUGAGGAUUUGGGGUCUAAUCGACCUUAAUCGAAGUGUUCUCAGUUGAGAACACUUCGACUAAGGUCUGUUCGACCUUAAAGUGUCUGAGUCCGAAGAUCGAGCCUGGGUCCGCGUAAUUCUGAUAUUUUGAGGUAUUUUCCUUUUUCACUUGUAUCUGUUUAUAUCUAUUUAUUUGUUAGUUUAGUUUUAUUGGUUUUUUAAUUCUUUUUGUCAAUUAAUUCUGUUCAUCUUCAGUAGACCUUUUUAUUUGGUCCAAUUCUAUCAUUUGUUUAUGUUUGCUAUAAUUGUUAUGUGUAAUAAUUUGUGUAAUCGAUUAAUAAGUUGCGUCGAUUAAUUAGUUUCCAGUUAAUCUAUAUUUUUGUCAAUACCACUGAAACUACCCGUGAAUUGCCUGAUUAUCUGGGUCUGAUUGUUUAGUGUCAAUUGUUAUAGGCAAUCAGUUAAUUAGUUUCGUCGAUUAAUUCGUUCUUGUUUAUAGACCAAUAAGUUCGUCAAAUGGUUGUUGUAUGUGCUGAUCUAUGGACACUUAGUUUCAGGGCAUUGUCAAUAGGCUGACAAUGAUCCUGCAUUCAUGUUGAUUCUAAUUUUAUUAUUCAGUUUCAGCUUUAAGGAUUCUGUUGAGUUCUAUGUUGUGUUAAGUCUGGUUUUGAUUUAAUUUCAGUUCAUUUGUUCCAAUUGAAUUCUAACCUCAGUCAUUCAGUUAUCAGAAAUAAGUUUGGUUAUAGUUGUUAGUCAGGCUUAAUUUUCAAAUCUUUGUUAGUUGAAAACAGAUUUCAGAAUUAAAGUUUUAAUACAGUUAAAUAAUUGUAUUAGGAGACUGUAAUAUUAAGGGGUUUCAGGGGUGAUUUGGGAAUGAAACAGUUAGGAUAAUAUUUUAAUGUUAGUGUGUUGUUAGUGGGAUGUUAGUGUCUUUAAAUUAAUACACUAAUGGGGAACAAAAGGGAAUGGGGGGCUGAAAUUAAGGAAAAGCUUUCCUUAGUGGGAUUCUAGCGGAAAAUUCUUGUUUCAAUAAGAAAAAAGGUUGGGCAGUAGGUUGGAGGGGGGCAGACUUGUAUAAAAGGGUGUUGAGGAUGGAAGUUAGAAAGGGGGACUGAUUUUUAAACCUUAGAGAGAGAGAAUUUGAGAAAAAGAACUAAGAAGAAAAGAAGAGACAGAAUAAGACUGAAAAAGGACUUCUUCUGAAAAAUACUAAAAAAUAAAAAGAAGGAGGAUUGGAGAGUUGGUUUCCCUUCACCUCUGAAAAUCAAAAUCAGUUUUGUUAGUAUUUAAUAAAAGUUCAAAGUGUUUCUUUCUUGGAGAGUUUAAAAAACAGAAAUCAAAGUUUGCUAUUCUAUUGCAUUUCUGGUUCUACUGUUCUGUUUAGGAUUGUUGGUUUGUUUUCUGGAAUUUCAUUGAAGUUUCAAGUGGUUUUCUGAGUUUGUUAUUUCUGGUCUAUACUGGUUAUUUAUUGCUGUUUCUAGUAUAUCUGUGUUGUUGCCUUGUAUUUCUGAAAUUACAACUGGAUUUCUGAGUUUAUUGCUGGGUUUUUAAUCUCCUGGUUACUGGUUGUUGUUGUUCUGUUGCUGCACUGUUACUGCCCUGAUGAUCUCUCAUCUUCCUCUUCUUUUAUUUCAAUACCAGGUACACUUUCGAAUCAAUACUGAUGUGGCUAUGAGAUGUGAAAGUUAAAAAAUGAAAUGCUGGGUGUUUUGAUGAAU